GAUGAACGCUGGCGGCGUGCCUAACACAUGCAAGUCGAGCGGCAGCGAGGGGUGCUUGCACCCUGUCGGCGAGCGGCGGACGGCUGAGUAACGCGUGGGAACGUGCCCCAAAGUGAGGAAUAACUGCCCGAAAGGGUAGCUAAUACCGCAUAUUAUCUUCGGAUCAAAGGAUUUAUCCGCUUUGGGAGCGGCUCGCGUCGGAUUAGGUAGUUGGUGAGGUAAUGGCUCACCAAGCCGACGAUCCGUAGCUGGUCUGAGAGGAUGACCAGCCAGGCUGGAACUGAGACACGGUCCAGACUCCUACGGGAGGCAGCAGUGAGGAAUCUGCCACAAUGGGCGAAAGCCUGAUGGAGCAACGCCGCGUGCAGGACGAAGGCCUUCGGGUUGUAAACUGCUUUUAUAUGUGAGGAAUAUGACGGUAACUUAUGAAUAAGGAUCGGCUAACUACGUG
rnacentral:rRNA from 1 species